UGCCAGCCGCCGCGGUAAUACGUAUGGUGCAAGCGUUAUCCGGAAUCACUGGGCGUAAAGGGAGCGUAGGCGGUUUUGCAAGUCAGAAGUGAAAGGCUACGGCUCAACCGUAGUAAGCUUUUGAAACUGCAAGACUAGAGUGCAGGAGAGGCAAGUGGAAUUCCUAGUGUAGAGGUGAAAUUCGUAGAUAUUAGGAGGAACACCAGUGGCGAAGGCGACUUCCUGGGCCAAUACUGACGCUGAGGUGCGAAAGCGUGGGGAGCAAACAGGAUUAGAUA
rnacentral:rRNA from 1 species